CUCAGCCCCUCUCUCGCCCGCAGGGAUGGUGCCCGCAGGGACCGAGGCCGCCCCGGCCCGCCGGUGAGGUGCCCGCCGCCCGCCCCGAGCCCCGAGCCCGGACCACGAUGAACAAACUGACCUUCCACAACAACAGAGUCAUGCAGGACCGCCGCAGCGUUUGCAUCUUCCUCCCCAACGACGACUCCCUCAACAUCAUCAUCAACGUGAAGAUUUUGUGCCACGAGUUACUGGUGCAGGUGUGUGACCUCCUGAGGCUGAAGGACUGUCACCUCUUCGGGCUCAGCGUCAUCCAGAACAAUGAGCACGUGUACAUGGACCUGGCCCAGAAACUCUACAAGUACUGCCCCAAGGAGUGGAAGAAGGAGGCCAGCAAGGUCAGCGGUGAGGUCUUGCAUGGAGAGCUGACGGCAGUAAGGCCACCUCUGUCCCCGUCGCAGGGGAUCGACCAGUUUGGCCCCCCGAUGAUCAUCCACUUCCGAGUGCAGUACUACGUGGAAAACGGCAGGCUGAUCAGCGACCGGACGGCACGCUACUACUACUACUGGCACCUGCGGAAGCAAGUGCUGCACUCGCAGUGCGUGCUGCGCGAGGAGGCUUAUUUCCUCCUCACCGCCUUCGCCCUCCAAGCCGACCUGGGCGACUUUAAGCGCAACAAGCACUACGGGAAGUACUUCGAGCCCGAAGCCUAUUUCCCCGCCUGGGUGGUUGCGAAGAGGGGCAAGGACUACAUCCUGAAGCACGUUCCAAACAUGCACAAGGAUCAGUUCGCCCUGACGGCCUCCGAAGCCCAUCUCAAGUACAUCAAGGAGGCCGUCCGGCUGGACGACGUAGCUGUGCACUACUACAGGUUGUACAAGGACAAAAGGGAGGUAGAGGCCUCCCUGACGCUGGGGCUGACGACGCGGGGCAUCCAGAUCUUCCAGAACUUGGACGAAGAAAAGCAGCUCCUCUACGACUUCCCCUGGACGAACGUGGGGAAACUGGUGUUCGUGGGUAAGAAGUUUGAGAUCCUGCCGGACGGGCUGCCCUCGGCCAGGAAACUCAUUUACUACACGGGCUGCCCGCUGCGCUCCCGCCACCUCCUGCAGCUGCUCAGCAGCAGCCACCGGCUCUACAUGAACCUGCAGCCCGUCCUGCGCCAGGUCCGCAAGCUGGAGGAGAACGAGGAGAAGAAGCAGUACCGCGAGUCCUACAUCAGCGACACCCUCGACCUGGACAUGGAGCAGCUGGAGAAGCGCUCGCGGGCCAGCGGCAGCAGCGCCGGCAGCAUCCGGCACAAGCGCCUCUCCCGGCACUCCACCGCCAGCCACAGCAGCUCCCAUACCUCCGGCAUCGAGGCCGACCCCAAACCCAGGGAGAUGGGACCCGAGGACGGCUUCUCGGGCGCCGGCGCCCACCGCAAGCUGAAGACCUGCAGCUCCAUGACCAGCCAUGGCAGCUCCCACACCUCCGGAGUGGAGAGCGGUGGGAAGGACCGGCUGGAGGAGGAUUCCCAGGAUGAUGAAAUCGAGAUGCUGGUGGAUGACCCCCGGGAGCUGGAGCGGGCUGGCGAGAUGGAGGUGAGCCCCGACAUGUGCGUCUACAUCACGGAGGACAUGCUGCUGUCGCGCAAGUUCAACGGGCACUCGGGGCUUAUCGUGAAAGAGAUCAGCUCCUCCACCUCCAGCUCCUCGGAGACGGUGGUGAAGCUGCGAGGGCAGAGCACCGACUCCUUACCCCAGACGACGUGCAGGAAACCGAAGACGUCGACGGACCGGCACAGCCUGAGCCUGGAUGACAUUCGGCUCUACCAGAAGGACUUCUUACAGCUGGCCAACCUCUGCCAGGAUACGGCCCAGAGCUACACCUUCGGCUGUGCCCAUGGGCUGGAGGAGGAAGGGCUCUACUGCAACGGCUGCUUGGCCCAGCAGUGCAUCAACAUCCAGGAGACCUUCCCCGUCAAAAGAACCAGCAAAUACUUCUCCUUGGAUCUCACCCACGACGAAGUCCCCGAGUUUGUCGUCUGAGCGCCGGCGGCGGGUGGCAGGACCGGCUGCCCGCCCUCGGGGGGGGGAAGGCUGGGGCUCCCUGCCCCGCAUCGGGGGCCGUCGAUGCCGCCUUCCCCCCCGCCCCGCAGCGCUUCCCUGGCAAACCGAGGCCGUGGAAACCAUCGCGCUCGGAGGAUCGCCCCGACGGCGGGCGGGAUGGAGACCCCCGGGCAUGGCGGAGUCCUGCCGGCGGUCCUCCAAGCAUCCUUUCUCCUCCGGAUGAGUUAGUGCCAAACACAAGUUGUCUGACUUCAACUGCGAGAAGCACAACUCGUCGGAGCUAGCAGAAGCCAACUCGUGUUUUCUCAUUGCCUCGUGGCGAGGUGACCUCUUCUCCUCCUUGACCCCAUCCUCAGCGCUGCCGGCGGCUCCGGCGGCGGCUCGGUGGCAACCGACGCCGGAGAGAAAAGCGCCAGACUGUUGUGUUCAAGACAAGCCAAAGAAAUGUAAAUACCCUAAAGGCCAGUAUGGGAAGGGAGAAUUAAGCAAUAACCAGCCGGGGAUCUCCAGGCACAGGUGAUGUACCGUGGAGGAAGGCCAGCGGCUGCUGGGGCAGAGCAUCAACCCAGUUCUUCCAAAAAAACCACGUGCUGGAGGUCAGGCCAGAGCGAAAAAAACCCCAAAACCAAAAAAAACCCCCCACCCAAGAAAAACAAAAGCAAAGGAGAAUGGAAAGGAAUAGGUCAUCUGUAAGGAUAUUGCAAUAAUGCAUCCCAAACUUUGAAUAUAUAGAGAUUACAUAUAUAAAUAUAUCGAGGUAUGUAUGUUUAUAUAUGUCUGGAUCUUAUAGACCCAUUUGCGUUUUACUUCUGCUCUAAAAUACCUUUUAUACAAAGGAUCUGCCUCUCUUCUUUAAUGAAACAUAUAAACAAUCAUAAUUUUUUCUAAGCACUAAGGUGAGAAAACAGACUUUCCUCUCAAGAAGAAUAUGUAUGCAACUGCGUUGUAAGUGUGGCUCUUCCCGGUGCAGUCUCCGUUGUAUUUUACCAAGGCUUUUCAUGCAUCUUUAAGUCUCUUACAGUUUGAAUAGUUCUGCUAAAGGAUGAUGGUGAUGUGCUAGAAAAACCCAAGAGCGGCUUCUGAGUGUGUCCUAGGGAAGCCAGCCUGCCCAGGUGUAACAUUUACCAUCGGUACCGGAGGGUAAAGCAUUACAGCAGCUAAUAUUCACAGCACAAUGCCUUUUUAGUCGGUAUUUUUAAUUAGAGUUUAGCUAUUGACAGCCAAAGUUUUGCCAUAUUUUGAUAUACCACCUUUUUUUAACUGGAAACUUUUCUUAAAAAAAAAAAUAAUUAUUUUAUAAAUAAGCACAAUCUUAUUUUUAUAAGAAAUGUUGGGGAAGGGAGCCAAGAAGAGGGAACCGGUACCAAAAGAAAAGGAGCAUAGCUAUUGGCACAGUGCAAAAAAACCUCAGUCUUAUUGCGAUAUGGGAGCUGGUAGGGGAGAGCAUCGGGCACUGCCGUGGCUCUGCGCUGCGGGACCGUGGCACCGGCACAGCGCGUCCCCACCCCAGAGCUUGGUCUUGUCCGGCACAAUGGCCCGGCGACGCUGGAUAUUAUGGGAAAAUAAUGUCGGUAGCCAAACGCUGGCAGGGUGAGCAGGAGGCUGGUGGUCCCUAAAGCCUCUCUUUAUCUCCCCUAAAGCCACCCAGCGCAGCCGGGGGGAUGCUGCCCGGCGUCUCGGGGCUAUGUGCCCCGCUUUGGUUUCGGGGGGACCCCAGCAAACACCCCAAAAGCGUCUUUUGUGGGCACCGCAUCCCAGGCUGGCAUGCCGGGGUUUGCUAGCAGCGGCCCCACCGCAGACCCCCAUCCACGGGGUUUGCCGUGUGCCGGGGGAUUGGUGCGUGCACCAGCAACGUGGGUCUGCCGUGCUGGAACCCCCCCGGGCUGGUACAGGCAGGAAAAUCCCCUAAAUUCAUCCCUGGUCUCUUUUUUUCCCCCCCUCUGCCAGCCUCUGCGAGGCAGCGGGGCUGCAGCACCCGGAUGGGGGGGGGGGGGGUCCUGCCUGCACCCCAUCCGCCGGUGAGCCCUGGGGUUCCUCCGUGGGACCCUCACCCCACUACUCUGCAGAAACACGUAGUUGGAGGGAGCAAAAGGGUAACUUGUGUAAAGAAAUGCAUUUCUUGGCCCCCCCCCCCCCCCCAGCCCCCAGCCCAUUAUCCUGCAACCGAACCCGAACCGAAGCAGCCCAGCCGGGGUUGGAGCGAUGGCGGGGGCUGCGAUGGAGCUCGCCCCUGGGCAAGCGGGAGCAGAGCCGGGCGAGCCGACGGGGCCGAGCCGGGAAGCGGGGGGACACAGAGGUGCCAUUUAUUCCGCAGGUGGCCGGGGCGGCCGCGCGGGUCCCGCGGGGGACGGGGUGGCCGUACCCGCCUGCCCUUCGUGCCGCUCCCCCUGCAAUAAUGAGCUAUCUGUCUGCACGAACGAAAUAGUCCUUUCUGUGAAAGGAUCCUCCCGUCAGGGCGAUGGGAGAGCCAGUGACUGUGUUGCAAAAGAAAAACGCAAGGAAAAACUAUACAAAAACCCCGCAGCGAAAUUAUUUUGUACCAAUGAAGUUUGUUGUGUGCCUUUUGCGGUACGGCUGGAAAUGACAAUAAAGUGACAGUUGUUUGCAUUA